rnacentral:rRNA from 1 species
CAGCCGCCACGGUAAUCCGUAGGUGGCAAGCGUUGUCCGGAAUUAUUGGGCGUAAAGGGCUCGCGGGCGGUUUCUUAAGUCUGAUGUGAAAGCCCCCGGCUCAACCGGGGAGGGUCAUUGGAAACUGGGAAACUUGAGUGCAGAAGAGGAGAGUGGAAUUCCACGUGUAGCGGUGAAAUGCGUAGAUAUAUGGAGGAACACCAGUGGCGAAGGCGACUCUCUGGUCUGUAACUGACGCUGAGGCGCGAAAGCGUGGGGAGCAAACAGGAUUAGAUACCCGGGUAGUCCCUGUCUCUUAUAC